AAAUACUAUUGAUAGUAGCAAAGUGGUGGCAGCGACCAACUUUUUGACCCUUGGAUCAAUAGGGUCUAGGGUCCAGAGUUUAGGGUUCAGUGGUUGCUACUAUUGAUAGUAGCUCAACUAUACAUGCACAUAUAUAUAUAUAUAUAUAUAUAUAUAUAGUCGAUCUUGGCUGCUUUCAAAAGUGGAGCAUGCACUAUUCAUGUGCUUCAACUCUAGCCCCAAUAAUAUAUAUAUAUAUAUAUAUAUAUAUAUAUAUAUAUAUAUAUAGUAGGCUACUAUACUAUUAAUAGCACCAACUCAUUGGUGCUAUUAGGUUUUCGGCCCUUGAAUGAAGGGAUGUGCAGUUAGGAUGACAAUGUCCCCUAGGGUUGAGAGGGUGGUUGGUUGAAUAGUAUGAUCUAACAGAUGGGGUAGAUCUAACGGCCAAAAACUUAGUAGCACCAAGCGCUUGGUGCUAUUGAUAGCAUAGUAGCCGGACUCUCUCUCUCUCUCUCUCUCUCUCUCUCUCUCUCUCUCUCUCUACAUAUAUAUAUAGCAAAAUCAAAUCUAUACAUAUGUACCACUGAAAAAUAUUUAACUUCACAUAUACAUUUAGUGCCCUGGGUCCACAAAACGUGAAAUUAGAAAUAUGAAUCAGUAACUUCCCUUUCACCAAUUUAUUUAUUUAUCUACUUAUUUUUUGAGUUACGCAAUCAGAUACAAAUAUAUAAUAAAUAGAAGAGCGAUGCUACCUCUAGAACCACCUUUUGGUUGUAAUAAAACCCUUCGAUCACACUGAGAGACACUUCCGAAAAUGAAGAUGAAUGUUCGCAUAUAUAUAUAUAUAUAUAUAUAUAUAUAUAUAUAUAUAUAUAUAUAUAUAUAUAUAUAUCCCUGCAGAGUGCGGAACUGCACAAAUACCCUUGCAGACUUCUCGUAACAAGCUGCUAAAUACAGCAGUCGCUCAGGUUUGGAUCAAGGGAAUUGGAAAGAAAACAAGAAGAGAAGAACCGCUUAAAGUAACCAAAAAAAAAUCAAAGCAAAAGGAAACAAAUACAAACCAACAAUCAAAUAGAAGUGAGAAAAAAAAAAAGAAGAUAAAGCUAAGCUUCAAAGAAGUACCUUGGUUUCAUUGGAAAAGGGAAAGCAAAGAAGAACAAAAGGGAGGGUCAGAUUCGCAGCAAUAUCGCUCUAACAGCGACGAAAGACAAGCCUUACACUGCAGAAAACAAGGGCAGUAUUUUGGCAACAAGUAGCAAUACUCUUUUGGCAAAACACCUUCCCAGCUGCACACUUAUGGCAUGCGUCACAGUCUGACAGGUUUGGUCUACAGACGAUACGGUGUAUCAAGUUCAAGAAUAGAGAAGACAUGUAAUGGGACAGGCAAACAGCAACUGAAGGACUUUCCGCAGAAAGUCACAAUCAUGUGGAAUUCAUUGCCAUCACCUUGCACAAAAUACCAGUCCAGGCAGUAUGAGAGGGAGAGAGAGAGAUAUUAUUUGCAGGGAGCUGUAUGAAAUUAACCCAUAUAUAUAUAUAUAUAUAUAUAUAGAGAGAGAGAGAGAGAGAGAGAGAGAGAGAGAGAGAGAGAGAGAGAGAGAGUCAUCAGCCUAAAAGAGUAGCAGAAAUGCCGGUCUACUUCCUCUCUGGCCAAAAACCAGGUAGAAUUUGUUCUAGAAUAAGGCAAUUUAGGUAAAAAUGCAUGGAGACCCCCUUUACCGGGGCUGCAAUUCACCUAUCCUCAAGCCCCAGGGGUGGAGAAAUUCUGAAAAAGCCCCUCAACUAUGGCCAUGUCGCAAAGUCUUUUUUUUCAACUUGCCAAAAAUGGCCAAAAGGGUAACAGCAGCAACAAUAACGAUACGGACAUGUUCCCUGCCUUUAGUUUUUGAAAAAACUUCUGCUCUCUUCUGCAUGUAAAGAAUCCAUAAAAUUACAAAGGUAAGUAAAAAUAGAAAAUUCUAUUUCUAAAGUUUAAGAAAGGCCAAUUUGCAUAAAAAAUCCACCAGUUUUGAGAUUUUGCAAGUUCGGUCCCUCUUUUGAGAGAGAGAGAGAGAGAGAGUCAUCAGCCUACACGAGUUGCAGAAAUUGCAAACUACUUCCUCUCUGGCCAACAACCAGGCAACAUUUGGUUAGAGGACAAAGCAAUUCAGGCGAAAAUGUACAGAGAGCCGCUAAAGUGGCAAUGCAAUUUCCCUGCCCUGCAGCCCCAGGCAUGGAGGAAUCCUGGGAAAAAGCCCCUCAACUAAAGUCAUGUUAAAAGAAGACCUUUGUUUUUCUUUUCCUGCAGAAAAUGGCCAAAGGGAACACAUUUGCUCUCUUUUUUUCUCUUUUGUCCUCUUCUUCUUCUUCUUUCUAAGAGAAAUCCAGUAGGCACCUUGAAUUUUUUUUUUUUUUUUUUUUGCGGAUUAACUUUUGCUCAGUUUCAGUGGUAAAGAACCAGUGAAUGCAACAAGAGAGAGCAAAAAGUGCAAAAGAUUGACGGAGGCUCAGAUUUAACACCAAAGGAAAAAUUAAUCAUAUACACCAGUCUAACACUGGAGAUGUAGCUGCAGCCAUUGCCUGCAAGUUGAAGGCCAUCCAGCUGCCCAGCCAACAUCGCCAAAGAAUCAAGCAUUUCAUUGGGUAGUAAACAAAUGUGGUGAACCAGGUCCAAGAAAUAGAUGUGUAUAUAUAUAUAUAUAUAUAUGAACGUGUGUGCGUACAUGCACACAUAUGGAAAGAGAAAAAUAAUGGCAUUGCAUGAGAAUAGCACAUCUUCUCACAAAAUUGCAGUGAUGCGGUGUUUAUCAUCAUCGCCUCCAAGAAGGAAAAGAAGGGAAAAAAUAUUUUGAAGAAAGCAUAUUUUGUAUAUAAUUUAACGAAAUGUUAACGGAGGAGCAGGCGAAAAGAGAAAAAUGAAACCACAGGAUACUAACUUAAUACACUUUAAUCCACAGGGUUACUAAAGUGAGAAAGUGCGAAACCAUAGGGGUGGUAUUUGAAGUUUACCCAAAAGAGUAACACAUAAGAGAAAGAGAAUUCAUAUAGAUGUAUAAAUUUAUUGUGGGGCUAAAAUACUAUUGAUAGUAGCAAAGUGGCGGCCGCGACCAAGUUUUUGACCCAUGGAUCAAUAGGGUCUAGGGUCCAGAGUUUAGGUUUAGUGGUUGCUACUAUUGAUUGUAGCUCAACUUUACAUUCGCAUAUAUAUAUAUAUAUAGUCGAUCACACUGAAGGACUUUCCGCAGAAAGUCACAAUCAUGUAGCAUUCAUCACCAUCACCUUGCACAAAAUACCAGUCCGGGCAAUAUGAUAUAUAUAUAUAUAUAUAUAGAGAGAGAGAGAGAGAGAGAGAGAGAGAGAGUCAUCAGCCUACAAGAGUAGCCGAAAUGCAGGUCCACUUCCUCUCUGGCCAACAACCAGGCAGAAUUUGGUUCUAGAAUAAGGCAAUUUAGGUAAAAAUGCAUGGAGACCCCCUUUACCGAGGCUGCAAUUCACCUAUCCUCGAGCCCCAGGGGUGGAGAAAUUCUGAAAAUAAGCCCCUCAACUUAGUCCAUGUCGCAAAGUCUUUUUUUUUAACUUGCCAAAAAUGGGGAAAAGGGUAACGGCUGCGACGAUAACGAUAUGAACAUGUUGCCUGCCUUUUAGUUUUUGAAAGAAACUUUUGCUCUCUUCUGCAUGUAAAGAAUCCAUAAAAUUACAAAGGUAAUUAAAAAUAGAAAAGUCUAUUUCUAGAGUUGAAGAAAGGCCAAUUUGCAUAAAAAAUCCACCAGUUUUGCGAUUUUGCAAGUUCCGUCCCUCAUUUUGAGAGAGAGAGAGAGAGAGAGAGAGAGAGAGACAUCGGCCUGCAAGAGUUGCAGAAAUGGCAAACUACUUCCUCUCUGGCCAACAACCAGGCAGCAUUUGGUUCAAGGACAAAGCCAUUCAGGCGAAAAUGUACAGAGAGCCGCUAAAGUGGCAAUGCAAUUUCCCUGCCCUGCAGCCCCAGGCAAGGAGGAAUCCUGGGAACAAGCCCCUCAACUAAGGUCAUGUUGAAAGAAGGCCUUUGUUUUUCUUUUCCUGCAGAAAAUGGCCAAAGGGGACACAUUUGCUCUCUUUCUUUUUCUUUUUUUUUCUUUUGUCCUCUUCUUCUUCUUCUUCUUCUUUCUAAGAGAAAUCCAGCAGGCACCUUGGAUUUGUUUUUUUUUUUUUUUUUUGAGGGAAAGAAACUUUUGCUCUGUUUCAGUGGAAAAGAACCAGUGAAUGCAACAAGAGAGAGUGGAAAGAAAAAAAAAACCUAAUUUCAAAGUUCGAAAAACAAAAUGAUCAUCAAAGAAUUCACAAGAAACAAAUACAAAUUGAUAAAAUGGUAAAAUGGUAAUACCAAGAACAAAACGAUAACGAAUAUAUGACGAGCUUCCAAUAAUACCUUCGAUUUUCUCAGCAAAAGGGAAGGAAAGAAAACAAAAGCAAUGCUCAGAUUACCUGGACAAAAUGACUAUUUUAAUGGCCGAUGUGGCAUGUUCGUAAGUUCAACGAUGUAGAACAAAAGCAACGCUCAAAGUAAUGCCAUCCCUUUUCCCUCACCAAAUAAAUAGUGAAGAAGAAAUUUAUCCAACAGAAUUGAUUUAUUGAUACUCAAAAAGCUCCAAAAAAUAGGGAAAGUAUGAUUCAAAUACUAAAUUGUUCAUCCAACAAUUUGAGUUGAAAAGUCAAAAUCAAAAUUUUAAGAAAAAAUAUAUGCAAUAAAUCAAACUGAAACCCCCCAAAUAAAACAGAAAAAAGAACAGCAAGUGAGAAAGAUGUUAAAGGUAGAGAGAUGAAAAGAUCAACAGAGAUUCCACUCUCGUAACGACUGUGUAGCUGCAGCAAGCCUGCCCAACAGCAGGCCACCCAGCUGCCAUGCCAACAUCAGUAGAGAGAGAAUUGAGCCGUAAAUGGAAAAUUUGAAGUUUCCGUUUUCCGCUGUUUUUCGGCGGAGAACGAAAACUCUCUGGAGGAUGAUGGUCUCUUACCCUCUUUAUAUAUAUAUAUAUAUAUAUAUAUAUAUAUAUAGAACUAGGCAAGAAUACUAUUAAUAGCACCAAGUUAUAGGUACUAUCAGUUUUUCGGCUCUUCGAUGAAGGAUGUGCGGUUAUAAUGACAGUGAUCCCUCUAGAGUUUAGUGAGUGGUUGGUAGAACAAUAUGAUCUAAGGAGUGGAACUAGUCGAAGGGAUAGAUCUAAUGGAGAAAAAUUUGGUAACAUCAAGUGUUUGGUGCUAUUGAUAGCACUGUAGCGGGCCUCAUAUUUAUAUAUUAUAUCCAUGUUAUUAUAUAUUAUAGAACUAGGCUGGAAUACAUAUAGAUGAUGAUGAUGAUGAUGAUUAUACUAAUAUAUAUAGAUAUAAAUAUUAAUUAUAUAAAUAUAAUAUGAUAAUUAUUUAUAUAAAUAAUGAUACAUAAUAUAACAGAACAAAAAUAUUUAAAAUUAUUUUUCAUUCAAAUUUUUUCUUUCAAUCAAACAAGCAUUGGAAAGCUCCUUUUUUCCCCUACAAAUAAAACGUUAAAGAGCGUUUUUUUUUCCAUCGAAAUUUCUUUUCCACCGAAAAUUAUCUUUCACAGUUUUACGUUGAACCAAACGGACCCUAAAUGGAAAAUGAGCUAUAAACCACAGGGGAGCAAAAAAGAGUAAAACUUUUGGAAUCACGGAGUGGCAAAGUAAAAAUGAGCUAAAACACGGGGGGCAAUUUGAAGUUUACCCUUUCUUUUUUCAUGAUCCAUUGGGGAAAAAAGAAAAUGAAUGAAAAUUUUUGAAGGAUAUGUUCAUUGUGAUGAGGAAAAGAAAGAAUAGUGCAACGCUUACAUACAAUUUCCACAGGAUGCGAUCCGAUUGGCUCGGUCCACGGAUGGCGCGGUGGACCAGGUCUAGGAUUUGGCUUCAAACCCCUCCCGGUGCGCCGCGGCGGCGCUAGGCCCUCCGGCCACCGCACCCACCGAGGAUACUAGGGUUCAUAGCAGUAGCUUGUUGCCUCAUAGUCGGCGUCGUAUGCGGACGCGCGAUGAGGUGGACGAGGCGAGGGGUCGCAUGGAGACCACGCUCCUCCUCCGCCAUUGUUGCGAAAAUAGAGAGAGAGAGAGAGAGAGAGAGAGAGAGAGAGAGAGAUGAGAUGAGAUGAGGGAUCGCAUGGAGAACACGCUCCUCCUCCGCCAUUGCUGCUCAAAUAGCGAGCGAGAGAGAGAGAGAACGCGCUACCUCCGAAUUAGGGUUUCUGGGGAAGAAGAAGACGACGAAGAAGACAAAGAGGUGGGCGUAGGGCUCGUUGGUUUUAUUUAGUGUUUUCAUGGCGAAUCAAAGCCGUUGGAUGGGUAACGGAGGGCCGUGAUCAAGAAUCUAGAAUAAUCCGACUACACGAAUUUCCAAAAUUGCCCUUCCCCUCUUUCUCGCUCGUCGUUGUUCGUGCGUGAUCAGAAAAGUUACAUUGACGGAAAUGCCCCUCCUCUCUUCCCCUUUCUUCAUCAUUGCCCCCAACCGCCUCGGAAAUCGUGAAGUGUCAGAUUUAAUGCUGUACAGUUGCCAAUUAAUUUUAAACGAUUG
rnacentral:lncRNA from 1 species